CAUCACAGGGAUAGGCAUACACCAUUCUUUCACUCACAAUUACACUCCGUUCUUCCACUCAACAAAAAAAGGAAAACACCAUCAUUAUCUUCCAUAUUUGCUCACAAUUCACACAGAUAUACACCAUUCACCAUACAAUAAUUUGAUAUGCACACAAAAUCCAUCCUCUCAUCUACAUAUUCUCUCACUGAACACAUCAUACACCUCACCGGAAACUUAUACACCCACACUGCCAGAAAGUGAGA
rnacentral:lncRNA from 1 species